ensembl:lncRNA
CAGGGACUGAGAUUGGCUGGAAAGGAGAGGAUGGGCGAGGAGAGGAUGGGAGAGGAAAGGAGAGGAGAAGAAAGAGGAGAGGAGCGGAAAUCUGAACACAGGUCACAUCUAGACAGCGUGCAAGUCAGAGGUAAAGCUAGAAAAAAAUGACAGGAGGAAAGAAUAAAGACAAAUGGGUGAUUGGGACCCAGAUGGGGAAAUGACCAACUGUUUGGUAAGGAUAGGCAAUGUGCAUAAAAAAGAUGGUUUCCCUGUGUGACUAAGAGGAUAGGGAUUAAAGAGAUAAGAGUGAAAGGGAAAGGAGGGAAAGAGGAAAGAGAAGGAGACAAAGUAAUCAGCACACAAGCGCAGAUCUAAAUGCUUAGAAAAUCACCAGGCUGAGCCAGAAGAGCCACAGCCAUACCCAAGAGGGGACCAUCAGAAAGACAGAAGCAGGCAAUUUAAGCAGCUAGCCACUGGGGUAGAAAAAAAAAUGAAAAGAAAAAAUAGAAGAUGGAAAAGCUGCUGUUUCCUUGGGAGGAUUCUGACAGGAUGGCAUAGAAAUUCAAGCCAACACCGCCAGCCCUGGAAAUAAAUAAAUAACACUCUACUAAACAUGUCAAUGGGGACAGAAGCCUGCGGGAAGAAAGCCCACAGAGAAGGAGGGACCUGCCUGCGACUCUCCCCAGGCCUGGACGAGGGACAGUGGACUCUCCAAAGUAUCUGCUCUCGAGGCUGCAUCACCUCACGAGGGAACUGCCCCCUGCUCUGGCUGGUCAAACGGAACCAAGUCCGUCUUCCUGAGAGGUUUGGUCCCCUUCAACCAGCUACAGCAGGGCUGGCAAUGCCCAGUCCUUCGAGAAACAGAAGAGACUCACCUGUGGCUGAAAUUACCUGCUAAAACUUUUCAUGUAAAAACAACUCUCAUUUGGUCAUCAUAUCUGCAUGCUCCCAAGGAAGGCAGAAAAGAGAAGCCCUAGGUUCAAAUGAGAGCAAGGUGCUCAACACACAGAUCUUUUGCACCCACAAGCAGAGCCACACGUGAACUUGACACACACAGUGAGUAAUGGCUUUCACGAUGGAGUUUGUGCAGGCCUGGCCAGCCAGGGGAAGACACUCAGACAUCGAAGGCAGGGCUGUCAGUGACCUAGGUAAAGAAAUUGACUUUAACUAUGGCACAAUUCAAUGUAACUGCAAGUCAGAAUAUGGCUAGUUCCAAGACGUGAUUCUUAAAUAGCGCACCAAGUACACCUAGGACAUAUUUGUUUCAGUUAACUUCAAAUAACCCUUUGUUUUCUCAUCUGUAAAAUAGGGACAAUGACACCUACUUCAAAGUAGCUAUAAGAUUUUUUAAAAGCUAAGAGUCAAAUAUAAGCCCUCAAGAAAUGGCAGCUGCUGUCAUUGUGCUGUUGUAAAUGGCAGUAACAUGAGGACAAGGCUUUGUCCAGGGGUAUUCAUAUCUGGAAGGGGAAGGCCAAAUUUUUUAAAAAUAGAAGUACUCAAAAAAAUAAAACUUUAUUUUAGGUUAUUUUUAUUCCAACCAUUAAUUCUACUAGCAUGCAAAAUGUGUUCCUCCUAGUCUGUCCUAUUAGAAUAUAACAAGUUUUACUAAGACCGGCUGCAUACAUGAGACGGCCAUUGCUAUCUGAAAUAUCUGAUCUGAGAAGCCUUCUUUAAUAAGUGCUCUUAUGAUCUAGUCCAUAACCACACCUCCUCCUGUAUUAGAAAGCCAUGGAGUAUGUGCCCUGUAGUCAAUCCAGAGUGGAGGUUAGAUGUGUGUGCUGGAACUAGACUGCCUGGGCUCAAAUCCCUAUUUACCAGCUGUGCUACCUUGGGCAAGUUGCUUGACCUCUCUGGACCUGUGCUUUCUCAUCAGCAAAGUGGGAACACUGAUAACAGUAUCUACCUUGUAGGGUAUUCAUGGAAAUGAAAUGAAAAUACAUGUAAAGGCCUAAAACUAGUAUUGGGUACACAAUAAGUUCUCGAGAGGUUUUAUCUUUGGCAAUGUUCCUGAAGCUAAAUUGAUGUUCAAUAAAAACUUCUUAAUAAA